rnacentral:misc_RNA from 1 species
AAGUCGUAACAAGGUUUCCGUAGGUGAACCUGCGGAAGGAUCAUUAGUGAAUUUACAGCUUCUGAAGCUGUUCUCUCUCUACUUUUCACCCCAGUGCACAUUACACUUUUAUUUAUAAUAAUAAUAAUACACCACAGUGUAGAAAUUUAAAAAGUCUUGGAAUGUAAAUAUACAAACAUAAAAACUUUCAGCAACGGAUCUCUUGGCUCUC